rnacentral:rRNA from 1 species
GCCGAAAGGCGGGCCUAGCGAACCAUCCUGGCCUGUAGAUGAGGCCGGAUGACGACAGAAAAGCUACCCCAGGGCGCCGGGACCGCAGACGGCAGGAGAGGGGUGGCCCCGGGAUAAGCCUGGGCGCCGAGAGGGGAACAACCCAAACCGGGGUUAAGGCCCCCAAGUGCGGGCUAAGUGUCACUCCACAAGGUCGUGCGCGUUCGAAGACAGCGGGGAGGUGGGCACGAAAGCUGCCAUCCUCUAAGGAGUGCGUCAAAGCUCACCCGCCGAGAACGCGCGCGCCGUAAAUGGACGGGACUCAAGCCCGCCGCCGAUACCCCGGGGCACGGGAGUAAAUCCCGUGAUCCGGUAGGAGGGCGCGACGGGGGGACGGAAGCAGGGGCGUGAGCUCCUGUGGACCCCCCGCCGGCGAAAAUCCCGGUAGGAGUAGCAGCAAAGCCGGGUGAAAACCCCGGCGGCCGGAGGGGCACGGUUUCAUCGGCAAUGGCAAUCAGCCGAUGGUUAGCCGGUCCUAAGCCCGCUCUCAACACGACGCGGGCGAAAGGGAAACGGGUUAACAUUCCCGUGCCCGGCGCACCAGCGGCAACGCGAAGUGCCGCCUCUGACGCAUCGGGGUAGCCCGACCGGGGUACUCGCCCCGGCUAACUGUUCAAACCCGGGGAGUGCCGUAAUGGCGAGAACCGGGCGAAGACAGGAAUGGCCCUCCAGGUGAGGGUUCGGGCAAUCCCUGGUGCCAGUGAAAAGGGGGCGGCACAACGGGUGCGCCGGACCGUACCUAGAUCCGACACAGGUGCCCCUGGCUGAGAAGGCCAAGGCCUGGCGGGUUACGGCGGGCUAGGGAACUUUGCAAUCUCGCCCCGUGACCUCGGUCGAAGGGGUGCCUGGCGCCCGAAAGGAGCGUCAGGUCGCAGUGACAGGGGGGGGCCGACUGUUUAAUUAAAACAUAGCGUCCCGCAAGCCCGAAAGGGUUUGUACGGGAGGUGAAUCCUGGCCAGUGGCGGUGGGUGAAACCCGGGUCCAACCGGGCGAAGCCCCGCUAAACGCCGGGAGUAACUAUGACUCUCUUAAGGUAGCCAAAUGCCUUGUCGGGUAAGUUCCGACGUGUGAAUGGAUCAACGGCUCCCCGCUGUCCCAGCCCGCCACCCGGCGAAACUACACCUCUUGGGGAAUGGGCCAGGGACCCCCUGCUGCAAGAUCAGUCCUCGUGGAGCUUCACUGCGUACCCGUCGCUCGGGUAGAGCACCCGGUGCAGAGUAUAGAUGGGAGCGAUGAACUGCUCUCCCCGGGGAGCAGGGAUGCGCCAGUGUAAUACCAUCCACCGGGUGUUCCACCCGUUACCCCUCCGGGGGGACAACGGCGGGGCGGCAGUUUGGCUGGGGCGGCACGCCCACGAUAAAACAUCGUGGGCCCGCAAAGGGCAGCUCAACCGGGACGGAAACCCGGCGCCGAGGGCAAGGCCAAAAGCUGCCCUGACGGGGAUCCGCACCGCAAGGAUCCCCGGGGUGAAAGCCGGUCCUAGCGAUCCAUCGCCCCCCAUGGCUGGGGGACGGUGGUAUGAGAAAAGUUACCCCGAGGGUAACAGAAUCGUAAGGCCCGAGAGCCCACAUCGACGGCCUUGCUUGUAGCAUCCUCGUCGGCUCUUCCCAGCGUGCCCUCGCAAGCGGGGGCAAGCGUGAGCCUGUUCGGCUAUCAAAGGGGAUCGUGAGCUGGGUUAACACCGGCGCGAGCCAGGUGGUUUUCUAGGUGCAGGGGGUGCCGGCGGCCUGAGUCGAGUGGCCCGCUUGUACGAAAGGAACGCGGGGCAGGGGCCAACGGUCAGCCGGUUGGCGGAAACGCCAGGCCGGGCAGCCGCGCCCCAAGGGAUACGCGCUGAAAGCAUCUAAGCGCCAAGCCCACGGCGAAAAUAGG